AGAUAGAGGCGUGCUCGAAAGAGAGCCGUAACACAGGUGCUGCAUGGCUGUCGUCAGCUCGUGUCGUGAGAUGUUGGGUUAAGUCCCGCAACGAGCGCAACCCUUGUCAUUAGUUGCUACAUUCAGUUGGGCACUCUAAUGAGACUGCCGGUGACAAGCCGGAGGAAGGUGGGGAUGACGUCAAGUCCUCAUGGCCCUUAUAGGUGGGGCUACACACGUCAUACAAUGGCUGGUACAAAGGGUUGCCAACCCGCGAGGGGGAGCUAAUCCCAUAAAGCCAGUCGUAGUCCGGAUCGUAGUCUGCAACUCGACUACGUGAAGUCGGAAUCGCUAGUAAUCGUGGAUCAGAAUGUCACGGUGAAUACGUUCCCGGGUCUU
rnacentral:rRNA from 1 species